rnacentral:rRNA from 1 species
UACGGAGGGUGCGAGCGUUGUCCGGAAUUACUGGGCGUAAAGGGCUCGUAGGUGGCCAACUAAGUCAGACGUGAAAUCCCCAGGCUUAACCUGGGAACUGCGUCUGAUACUGGAUGGCUUGAAUUCGGGAGAGGGAUGCAGAAUUCCAGGUGUAGCGGUGAAAUGCGUAGAUAUCUGGAGGAAUACCGGUGGCGAAGGCGGCAUCCUGGACCGAGAUUGACACUGAUGAGCGAAAGCCAGGGGAGCAAACGGG